AUUGAACGCUGGCGGCAUGCUUUACACAUGCAAGUCGAACGGCAGCGCGGGCUUCGGCCUGGCGGCGAGUGGCGAACGGGUGAGUAAUACAUUGGAACGUGCCCAGUAGUGGGGGAUAGCUCGGCGAAAGCCGGAUUAAUACCGCAUACGACCUGAGGGUGAAAGCGGGGGAUCUUCGGACCUCGCGCUAUUGGAGCGGCCGAUGGCAGAUUAGCUAGUUGGUGGGGUAAAGGCCUACCAAGGCGACGAUCUGUAGCUGGUCUGAGAGGACGACCAGCCACACUGGGACUGAGACACGGCCCAGACUCCUACGGGAGGCAGCAGUGGGGAAUUUUGGACAAUGGGCGAAAGCCUGAUCCAGCAAUGCCGCGUGUGUGAUGAAGGCCUUCGGGUUGUAAAGCACUUUUGGCGGGAACGAAAAGGACUGUGCCAAUACCACGGUUCGAUGACGGUACCCGCAGAAUAAGCACCGGCUAACUACGUG
rnacentral:rRNA from 1 species